AGAGUUAUUCCGUUUAAGAAAAUAAGAAAUUUCAUGUUAGAUGCACUUUAAUAUAAGAACUUACAAUAGUGCGUUUCUUAUUCUAUUUUGACCUAAAUUUUUAACCAUAUUUUAUCACAAUUCGGAAAACGUACUUACCAAAAAGGCCUGGGACGAUGUUGUGAAGCUAUUUUUGGAAACGUCUAUUUACAUUUCUUCGCGCACAAGCAUGCAUUAUCAGAAAACGUGAUCAAGCCAGCGAUGUUUUUGACAACACCGACCUCGCACGUAUAUAAUUUAACCGUUUAUUAUAUUCAUUUUGAAAUCAAUGGUGUUUCCUGC